rnacentral:rRNA from 1 species
GAUGAACGCUAGCGGCAGGCUUAAUACAUGCAAGUCGGGGGGCAGCAGGACUGUAGCAAUACAGUUGCUGGCGACCGGCAAACGGGUGCGGAACACGUACGCAACUUACCCUGAACUGGGGGAUAGCCCGGGGAAACCCGGAUUAAUACCCCGUAAUAUAAUGGAGUGGCAUCACUUUAUUAUUAAAGCUCCGGCGGUUCGGGAUGGGCGUGCGGCUGAUUAGGUAGUUGGUUGAGGUAACGGCUCACCAAGCCUACGAUCAGUAACUGGUGUGAGAGCACGCCCGGUCACAGGGGCACUGAGACCCGGCCCCGCCUCCGCGGGGGGGCAGCAGUAAGGAAUAUGGGGAAGGGGAGCCACCUCUGCCCCCGCCGCCCGGGGGGGAGGAUGAGGGCCCUUUGUGUUGUAAUUUUUUUUUAUGGGGGACAAACCCUGUUUUUUCUUCGGCAGUGCAGGUCCCCCAAGAAAAAACCCCCGGCAACCCCCGUC